rnacentral:rRNA from 1 species
AUUGAACGCUGGCGGCAUGCUUUACACAUGCAAGUCGAACGGUAACAGGCCGCAAGGUGCUGACGAGUGGCGAACGGGUGAGUAAUGCAUCGGAACGUGCCCAGUCGUGGGGGAUAACUACUCGAAAGAGUAGCUAAUACCGCAUACGAUCUAUGGAUGAAAGCGGGGGACCGUAAGGCCUCGCGCGAUUGGAGCGGCCGAUGUCAGAUUAGGUAGUUGGUGGGGUAAAGGCUCACCAAGCCAACGAUCUGUAGCUGGUCUGAGAGGACGACCAGCCACACUGGGACUGAGACACGGCCCAGACUCCUACGGGAGGCAGCAGUGGGGAAUUUGGGACAAUGGGCGCAAGCCUGAUCCAGCAAUGCCGCGUGCAGGAAGAAGGCCUUCGGGUUGUAAACUGCUUUUGUACGGAACGAAACGGCUCUGGUUAAUACCCGGGGCUAAUGACGGUACCGUAAGAAUAAGCACCGGCUAACUACGU